GAUGAACGCUGGCGGCGUGCCUAAUACAUGCAAGUCGAGCGAACAGACGAGGAGCUUGCUCCUCUGACGUUAGCGGCGGACGGGUGAGUAACACGUGGAUAACCUACCUCUAAGACUGGGAUAACUUCGGGAAACCGGAGCUAAUACCGGAUAAUAUAUUGAACCGCAUGGUUCAAUAGUGAAAGACGGUUUUGCUGUCACUUAUAGAUGGAUCCGCGCCGCAUUAGCUAGUUGGUAAGGUAACGGCUUACCAAGGCGACGAUGCGUAGCCGACCUGAGAGGGUGAUCGGCCACACUGGAACUGAGACACGGUCCAGACUCCUACGGGAGGCAGCAGUAGGGAAUCUUCCACAAUGGGCGAAAGCCUGACGGAGCAACGCCGCGUGAGUGAUGAAGGUCUUCGGAUCGUAAAACUCUGUUAUUAGGGAAGAACACAUGUGUAAGUAACUAUGCACGUCUUGACGGUACCUAAUCAGAAAGCCACGGCUAACUACGUG
rnacentral:rRNA from 1 species